CCCGACUGCUAUUUGGGUGAGGAUAAGCCAUGCCAGUCGUAUGGGAUACCUAAACUUCCCAUGGCAAACUGCUCAGUAACACAUGAUUAACUUACCCUAAAGAAAAUAAUAACCUCGGGAAACUGAGGAUAAUAAUUUAUAGUUGAGAAGGCUUGGAAAAGUUUUUCAAUGAAAUGGAUAAGAAAAAUGGUUCUUAUCUGCUUUAGGAUAGGAUCGUGGUCGAUUAUGGCUGUUGGUGAGGUAACGGCUCACCAAACCUAUAAUCGAUAAGGGCCGUGAGAGCGGGAGCCCUGAGAUGGGUCCUGAGACAAUGACCCAGGCCUUACGAGGCGCAGCAGGCGCGAAACCUCCGCAAUACACGAAAGUGUGACGGGGUUACCCAAAGUGUUCAUUUAUGGACUGUGGUAGGUGAGUAAUGUCCCCUACUAGAAAGGAGAGGGCAAGGCUGGUGCCAGCCGCCGCGGUAAAACCAGCUCUUCAAGUGGUCGGGAUAAUUAUUGGGCUUAAAGUGUCCGUAGCCGGUUUAGUAAGUUCCUGGUAAAAUCGGAUAGCUUAACUAUCUGUAUGCUAGGAAUGCUGCUAUACUAGAGGGCGGGAGAGGUCUGAGGUACUACAGGGGUAGGGGUGAAAUCUUAUAAUCCUUGUAGGACCACCAGUGGCGAAGGCGUCAGACUGGAACGCGCCUGACGGUGAGGGACGAAAGCCAGGGGAGCGAACCGGAUUAGAUACGUUGGUGUUAUUUGAAUGUAAUGUAAGAAUUACUAACACAAUGCUAAAAACCCGGGUAGUCCUGGCCGUAAACGAUGCAUACUAGGUGAUGAUACGGCCAUGAGCCGUGUCAGUGCCGUAGGGAAACCGUUAAGUGUGCCGCCUGGGAAGUACGGUCGCAAGGCUAAAACUUAAAGGAAUUGGCGGGGAGCACCACAAGGGUGAAGCCUGCGGUUC
rnacentral:rRNA from 1 species